rnacentral:rRNA from 1 species
AGCGAACGCUGGCGGCAGGCCUAACACAUGCAAGUCGAACGAGACCUUCGUGUCUGGUUGCUCACGGGUGCGUAACGCGUGGGAACCUGCCCUUAGACUCCGGAUAACACCCCUAAGGGGGGGCUAAUAUCGGGUAAUUUCUGCUGACCACAGAUUUAUCGCCUUUGUAUGAGCCGGCGUUGUUUUGACUAGUUGGUAUGGUAAAAGCCUACCAAGGCUACGAUACAUAGCGGGUCUGAGAGGAUGAUCAGCCACACUGGGACUGAGACACGGCGCAGACUCCUACGGGAGGCAGCAGUGCGGAAUACUGGACAACCGGGGAAAGCAAGAUCCAGCACUGCUGCGUGAGUGAUGAAGGCGUUAGGGUUGUAAAGCUCUUUUACCCCCGAUGAUAAUGACAGUACCGGGAGAAUAAGCACCGGCUAACUCCGUG